AUUGAACGCUGGCGGCAUGCUUUACACAUGCAAGUCGAACGGCAGCGCGGGCUUCGGCCUGGCGGCGAGUGGCGAACGGGUGAGUAAUGCAUCGGAACGUGCCCAGUAGUGGGGGAUAGCCCGGCGAAAGCCGGAUUAAUACCGCAUACGACCUGAGGGUGAAAGCGGGGGACCGAAAGGCCUCGCGCUAUUGGAGCGGCCGAUGUCGGAUUAGCUAGUUGGUGGGAUAAAGGCUUACCAAGGCGACGAUCCGUAGCUGGUCUGAGAGGACGACCAGCCACACUGGGACUGAGACACGGCCCAGACUCCUACGGGAGGCAGCAGUGGGGAAUUUUGGACAAUGGGGGCAACCCUGAUCCAGCCAUGCCGCGUGCGGGAAGAAGGCCUUCGGGUUGUAAACCGCUUUUGUUCGGGAAGAAAUCCUCUGGGCUAAUACCCCGGGGGGAUGACGGUACCGGAAGAAUAAGCACCGGCUAACUACGUG
rnacentral:rRNA from 1 species